rnacentral:rRNA from 1 species
UACAGAGGGGGCUAGCGUUGUUCGGAAUUACUGGGCGUAAAGGGCGCGUAGGUGGCCUGUUAAGUCGAACGUGAAAUCCCCGGGCUCAACCCGGGAACUGCGUCCGAGACUGGCAGGCUCGAAUCCGGGAGAGGGAUGUGGAAUUCCAGGUGUAGCGGUGAAAUGCGUAGAUAUCUGGAGGAACACCCAUAGCGAAGGCAGCUUGCUGGGACGUUACUGACGCUAAGGCGCGAAAGCGUGGGGAGCGAACAGG